rnacentral:tRNA from 1 species
GGACACAUAGCUCAGCGGUAGAGCAACCGGCUGUUAACCGGUUGGUCGCAAGUUCGAUCCUUGCUGUGUCCGCCA